UCUGGAGCGAGGUUGAAGAGAGAAGGGAAGGGAGCGGAGUACCAAGCAAGACCAAGUUUCUAACUCAAGAUUCAAAUAGCAAAGCCCUACGUGCUUCCCCCUGUAAGGAAGGGAUCGAAAUCGGGACCUUGCGCUUGUAUGGCAGACAGCAAAAACAAUGAGCUAAAUCCCCGGCCAACAAACAUGUUCUAAAGCGGACUACAUCUUUCUCCCAGAACCUGACCUUACUUCAGUCCCAGUUUCUGAGGAUUGCAUCAUGAUCAUCUAUCGAACUGUCCCAAACUAGUAGUGAUCCUAGAUUUCUCUUUCUUACUACCUAUGUCCAAAUGGUGAUCAUUUCUUGGCAAUCACCUCUUGCAUAAUCAUCCUUUCCACCUUCAUUGCCUUAUUUUAGCCUCUUCACUGACCUUCCAUAUGAGUUAGGUGUCACUAGAGGCACAGAUUUAAUACAAAAUAUAUGUAUGGUUAUAUAAAGGAUUUACUACAUAGGCUUACAAUGGUCACCUGCAGAAUCAGGGGCAGAAGAAUGUAAGUGGCCACCUGUGUGCUGGAGUCCAGAGGGGCGGGUCAGAGGUCAGAGGCCUGGCACUCACUGGAUGGUCUGGGUGUUCAUGUGGGAAGCCACAGCGUCUGCACUGGAAGGCGAAGGAAUGAGACCAGUGUCCAAAGGCAACAGCGAAGACUGGAGCUCCUCUGAAGAAGCCAAGACUUCCUUCUUUGCCUUUUUAUUCCGUCCAGGCUACAAGCCUGUUGGUUGGUUGGUGCCACCCAUACCUGGGUGGGCUUCCCUUCUUGGUUUUGCCCCAUGUGUCAGUGGCCCACAGACACACCCAGAACUGUGCUCCACUAACUCACUAGGCAGUUCUUAAUCCAGUCCAGUUGACAUAGCACAAUUAACCAUCGCACCUACUUAAUGGUCUCGCCAUCCGCUCCAUCUGUCUGUCUGUCUGUCUGUCUGUAUGUAUGUAUUGAGACAGGGUAUCGCUACGUACUUCAGGCUGGCAUUGAGUUCACUAUGUAGCCCAGGCUGGCCUUGAACUAGGACGAUCCCCCUGCCUCCGCCUCCCAAGUGCUAGGGUUCCAGGCGUGUACCACCAUGCUUAGUUAGGCAUUCCCUCCAUUUAGAAAAGCUGGCUAAUGGCUGUAGAACCACAAAUGUCCAAGGUUAAAAGAUAGUUCUCCUCCCCCAGACACUGGUGUGCCAUCCCCCAGUGAAAUUACCUGUUCACUAAGUAUAUA
ensembl:lncRNA